rnacentral:rRNA from 1 species
UACGUAGGUGGCGAGCGUUGUCCGGAAUUACUGGGUGUAAAGCGCGUGUAGGCGGGAGGCCAAGUCUGUGGUGAAAUCGCUCGGCUUAACUGGGCGGGGUCCAUGGAAACUGGUCACCUGGAGGUCGGUAGAGGCAAGUGGAAUUCCCGGUGUAGUGGUGAAAUGCGCAGAUAUCAGGAGGAACACCGGUGGCGAAGGCGGGACUCUGGGCCGAUACUGACGCUGAGGAGCGAAAGCGUGGGGAGCAAACAGG